CCUUCGAUAGCUCAGUUGGUAGAGCGGAGGACUGUAGAGGUCUCACGAAGUCAUCCUUAGGUCGCUGGUUCAAAUCCGGCUCAAGGA
rnacentral:tRNA from 1 species